AACGCACAUUGCGCCCCUUGGUAUUCCGAGGGGCAUGCCUGUUCGAGCGUCAUUUCACCACUCAAGCCUGGCUUGGUAUUGGGCGCCGCGGUCCGCCGCGCGCCUCAAUGUUUCCGGCUGAGCCGUCCGUCUCUAAGCGUUGUGGUAACCUAUCCGCUUGCGAGUCGGGGGGCGUCUGGCCGUUAAACUCAUUCAAAGGUUGACCUCGGAUCAGGUAGGGAUACCCGCUGAACUUAAGCAUAUCAAUAAGCGGAGGAUCACACUGUGACUACGCUCUGUGAAUCAUCGAGUCUUUGAACGCACAUUGCGCCCCUUGGUAUUCCGAGGGGCAUGCCUGUUCGAGCGUCAUUUCACCACUCAAGCCUGGCUUGGUAUUGGGCGCCGCGGUCCGCCGCGCGCCUCAAUGUUUCCGGCUGAGCCGUCCGUCUCUAAGCGUUGUGGUAACCUAUCCGCUUGCGAGAUCGGGGGGCGUCUGGCCGUUAAACUCAUUCAAAGGUUGACCUCGGAUCAGGUAGGGAUACCCGCUGAACUUAA
rnacentral:misc_RNA from 1 species